rnacentral:snRNA from 1 species
CAGAGGAUUGGCACCAGGUAUU